GAGGGUAUAGCUCAGUGGUACAGUAUAUGCUUACCAUGCAUGAGGUCCUAGGUUCAAUCACCAGUACCUCCA
rnacentral:tRNA from 1 species